UCGACCCCGGGCAGCGUCUCGGAGGUCGGCUACCGCUGCCACCGUCCCGCCUGCCGCCCCGGCCGGCGAGGGUGGCCCCCCUGCACCCCCUCCUAAUCUUACCAGUAACAGGAGACUGCAGCAGACCCAGGCCCAGGUGGAUGAGGUGUGCUAGGCAUGUUCUG